rnacentral:rRNA from 1 species
GACGUAGGGGGCCAGCGUUGUUCGGAAUUACUGGGCGUAAAGGGUUCGUAGGCGGUGUGGCAAGUCGGGAGUGAAAUCUCUGGGCUCAACCCAGAGUCUGCUUCCGAAACUGCUGUGCUUGAGUGUGGGAGAGGCGCGUGGAAUUGCAGGUGUAGCGGUGAAAUGCGUAGAUAUCUGCAGGAACACCCGUGGCGAAAGCGGCGCGCUGGACCACUACUGACGCUGAGGAACGAAAGCUAGGGGAGCAAACAGG